CUUGAUCGAACCGAGCCACAGGGGUUCCGCGCCGUCUCGGUCACGCCCGUAGGUGGCCAGUAGCGCCUGCGCCUC
rnacentral:antisense_RNA from 1 species